CGAUGAAGAUGAGGUGUUGUGGGAUAGAGAUGCGGGGAAACAGCAGCGCGGUAAUAUGAGGCAGGAAGAUAUUGGGACGGAAUUUCGGAGGUAAAGCACAGAUAAUAAAAAUAAAUAAAAGGAAAAAUAAGGUAGCAGGAAGUGAGGCGAACAGGUUUGGGUAAGGCUAAAGUAUAGUUUUGUGGUGGGAAGAGCGCAGGUAAUAUGAACAAAGUGAAUAAGCAGUGAUAUGAAUUAGAGUGAAAGUGCAAAAAGCUGAGACGAGCACAUUUGUAGCCUUAAUACAAAGUGGAUGCGUGUACAAAACAGAAGAAGAAGACCGAAAAGCUUUUGGUCAAUGGAGGGGUGCAUACUAAAAAGGUACUUUCGGCAUCAAAUGUCAGCUGUUAAAAGGACAUAUGGAAAACUAAAUAUAUAUCUAAAGAGAAGCACUUCACAAUUGUGGAAAUCACUGCAUGAGCCUUUGCGGAUACGACACACAAUAUUCUGGAAAAUGGUACACGGCGCAGAAAAAGACAAAGCUUAAGAGCAGGAACAAAGCCAGCUCCAAAUAGGAAAAGUGUGUGGUGUAUGAGAAGGAUGUGCCCGCAAGGGCCUCGGUGUAGGUGUCAAGGCAACCAAAUGAAAAUAAUGUACUAUUUUUUAUGUAUGUGUGCGGAUAUGAGGCAGACGGUUGACCUAAAAAAUCAAAAUAAUAAUAAUAAAAAAUGCCACUGUAUUUGUA